rnacentral:rRNA from 1 species
CAUUUGCCAGGAAGGUGAAACCGCGAAUGGCUCAUUAAAUCAGUCAUGGUUCCUUAGAACAUACCAUCCUUCUUGGAUAACUGUGGUAAUUCUAGAGCUAAUACAUGCAACAGAGCUCCGACCCUUGUGGAACGAGCGCUUUUAUUAGACCAAAGACCAAUCGGAGCUUCGGCCCCGUCAGUCUGUGGUGACUCUGGAUAACUUUUAGCGGAUCGCACGGUCAUCGUGCCGGCGACUCCUCUUUCAAAUGUCUGCCUUAUCAACUUUCGAUGGUAGGUUAAUUGCCUACCAUGGUUGUAACGGGUGACGGGGAAUCAGGGUUCGAUUCCGGAGAGGGAGCCUGAGAAACGGCUACCACAUCCAAGGAAGGCAGCAGGCACGCAAAUUACCCACUCCCAGUACGGGGAGGUAGUGACGAAAAAUAACAAUGCGGGACUCUUACGAGGCCCCGUAAUUGGAAUGAGUCCACUUUAAAUCCUUUAACGAGGACCUAUUGGAGGGCAAGUCUGGUGCCAGCAGCCGCGGUAAUUCCAGCUCCAAUAGCGUAUACUAAAGUUGUUGCGGUUAAAAAGCUCGUAGUUGGAUGUCAGUCGCGGGCGGGCGGUCCACCGUUUUGGUGGUUUACUGCUCGUCCCGCGACCUACUGGCCGGCCUCCCCCGCUAUGCUCUUCACCGGGUGUGGCGGGUGGCCGGAAAGUUUACUUUGAAAAAAUUAGAGUGCUCUAAGCAGGUGCUUGCCGCCUGAAUAACACAGCAUGGAAUAAUGGAAUAGGACCUCGGUUCUAUUUUGUUGGUUUUCGGAAUUCCGAGGUAAUGAUUAAUAGGGACAGACGGGGGCA